rnacentral:rRNA from 1 species
GACGUAGGGUCCAAGCGUUUGUCCGGAUUUACUGGGCGUAAAGAGCGCGUAGGCGGCUCGGUAAGUGUGAAGCUAAAUCUCUGGGCUCAACCCAGAACUAUUUCGCAUACUGCCAAGCUGGAGUGAUGAAGAGGUUUGUGGAAUUCCUGGUGUAGCGGCUGAAAUGCGUUGAUAUCAGGAGGAACACCCAUGGCGAAGGCAGCAAACUGGUCAUCAACUGACGCUGAGGCGCGAAAGCGUGGGUAGCAAACAGG